rnacentral:misc_RNA from 1 species
GAUGAAGAACGUAGCGAAAUGCGAUAAGUAAUGUGAAUUGCAGAAUUCAGUGAAUCAUCGAAUCUUUGAACGCACAUUGCGCCCGCCAGUAUUCUGGCGGGCAUGCCUGUUCGAGCGUCAUUUCAACCAUCAAGCCCUGCUUGCGUUGGGAUCCUGCGGCUGCCCGCAGGCCCUGAAAACCAGUGGCGGGCUCGCUAGUCACACCGAGCGCAGUAAUACAUCUCGCUUUGGGCGUGCGGCGGGUUCUUGCCGUUAAACACCCCCUUUUUACCAAGGUUGACCUCGGAUCAGGUAGGAAUACCCGCUGAACUUAAGCAUAUCAAUAAGCGGAGGA